ACUACUUUGGCAGAUAAGUGCAUUAGGUUUAGAUUCUAAUUAUAUAGAAAUACUAUAGGUAGUG
rnacentral:tRNA from 1 species